UACCCGCCCCCGCGGGGUGGGGACUAUUACUGGGCUUAAAGCGCCCGUAGCCGGCCGGGUGGGUCCUCCGUUAAAUCCACGGGCCUAACCAGUGGGCUGCGGAGGAUACUACACGGCUUGGGGGUGGGAGAGGGCGGCGGUAUUCCCGGGGUAGGGGUAAAAUCCACGGAUCCCGGGAGGACCACCAGUGGCGAAGGCGGCCGCCCAGAACACGCCCGACGGUGAGGGGCGAAAGCUGGGGGAGCAAACGGG
rnacentral:rRNA from 1 species